rnacentral:ncRNA from 3 species
UGUAAGAGCUGCCGCAGGCUGCGAUCUAUUGAUCUUGAUAUUCAAAAAAAGAUCAAAAGAUCGCAGCCUUCGGCAGCUCCUGCA